UGUGGUGUAGCUCAAUUGGAAAGAGCGCCCCUCGCAUGGGGAGGUGAGCACUAUCCGGGGAUCAUGACCUGGGAUAUCUCAUACGGCUGGCCAGACGUUAUCCGGGUUCAAGUCCCGGCCCCACAA
rnacentral:tRNA from 1 species